rnacentral:rRNA from 1 species
UACGUAGGGGGCAAGCGUUGUCCGGAUUUAUUGGGCGUAAAGAGCGUGUAGGCGGCCAUGUAGGUCCGUUGUGAAAACUCGAGGCUCAACCUCGAGACGCCGAUGGAAACCAUGUGGCUAGAGUCCGGAAGAGGAGAGUGGAAUUCCUGGUGUAGCGGUGAAAUGCGCAGAUAUCAGGAAGAACACCCGUGGCUAAGGCGGCUCUCUAGUACGGUACUGACGCUGAGACGCGAAAGCGUGGGGAAGCG